UACGGAGGGGGCAAGCGUUGUUCGGAAUUACUGGGCGUAAAGGGCGCGUAGGCGGCCUGCUAAGUCGAACGUGAAAUCCCCGGGCUCAACCCGGGAACUGCGUCCGAUACUGGUAGGCUUGAAUUCGGGAGAGGGAUGCGGAAUUCCAGGUGUAGCGGUGAAAUGCGUAGAUAUCUGGAGGAACACCGGUGGCGAAGGCGGCAUCCUGGACCGACAUUGACGCUGAGGCGCGAAAGCCAGGGGAGCAAACGGG
rnacentral:rRNA from 1 species